GACGAACGCUGGCGGCGUGCCUAACACAUGCAAGUCGAACGCUUCUUUCCUCCCGAGUGCUUGCACUCCAUUGGAAAGAGGCGUGGCGGACGGGUGAGUAACACGUGGGUAACCUACCCAUCAGAGGGGGAUAACACUUGGAAACAGGUGCUAAUACCGCAUAACAGUUUAUGCCGCAUGGCAUAAGAGUGAAAGGCGCUUUCGGGUGUCGUUGAUGGAUGGACCCGCGGUGCAUUAGCUAGUUGGUGAGGUAACGGCUCACCAAGGCCACGAUGCAUAGACGACCUGAGAGGGUGAUCGGCCACACUGGGACUGAGACACGGCCCAGACUCCUACGGGAGGCAGCAGUAGGGAAUCUUCGGCAAUGGACGAAAGUCUGACCGAGCAACGCCGCGUGAGUGAAGAAGGUUUUCGGAUCGUAAAACUCUGUUGUUAGAGAAGAACAAGGACGUUAGUAACUGAACGUCCCCUGACGGUAUCUAACCAGAAAGCCACGGCUAACUACGUG
rnacentral:rRNA from 1 species